GACGAACGCUGGCGGCGUGCUUAACACAUGCAAGUCGAACGGAAAGGCCCUGCUUUUGUGGGGUGCUCGAGUGGCGAACGGGUGAGUAACACGUGAGUAACCUGCCCUUGACUUUGGGAUAACUUCAGGAAACUGGGGCUAAUACCGGAUAGGAGCUCCUGCUGCAUGGUGGGGGUUGGAAAGUUUCGGCGGUUGGGGAUGGACUCGCGGCUUAUCAGCUUGUUGGUGGGGUAGUGGCUUACCAAGGCUUUGACGGGUAGCCGGCCUGAGAGGGUGACCGGCCACAUUGGGACUGAGAUACGGCCCAGACUCCUACGGGAGGCAGUAGUGGGGAAUAUGGCACAAUGGGCGGAAGCCUGAUGCAGCAACGCCGCGUGCGGGAUGACGGCCUUCGGGUUGUAAACCGCUUUCGCCUGUGACGAAGCGUGAGUGACGGUAAUGGGUAAAGAAGCACCGGCUAACUACGUG
rnacentral:rRNA from 1 species